rnacentral:rRNA from 1 species
CGGGUUGUAAAGCUCUUUCGGCCGGGAAGAAAUCGUGGUCUCUAACAUAGGCCAUGGAUGACGGUACCGGACUAAGAAGCACCGGCUAACUACGUGCCAGCAGCCGCGGUAAUACGUAGGGUGCGAGCGUUAAUCGGAAUUACUGGGCGUAAAGCGUGCGCAGGCGGUUUUGUAAGACAGAUGUGAAAUCCCCGGGCUUAACCUGGGAACUGCGUUGUGACUGCAAGGCUAGAGUACGGCAGAGGGGGGUGGAAUUCCUGGUGUAGCAGUGAAAUGCGUAGAGAUCAGGAGGAACACCGAUGGCGAAGGCAGCCCCCUGGGCCUGUACUGACGCUCAUGCACGAAAGCGUGGGGAGCAAACAGGAUUAGAUACCCUGGUAGUCCACGCCCUAAACGAUGUCGACUAGUCGUUCGGAGCAGCAAUGCACUGAGUGACGCAGCUAACGCGUGAAGUCGACCGCCUGGGGAGUACGGCCGCAAGGUUAAAACUCAAAGGAAUUGAUGGGG